UUAUGCAAAGAGGAAUCUACAAAGGUAUAAAUCUCAACUCACUUUGUUUUGAGUUGAGUCUUGGUUCACCAAUAUACUAGGCUUUGAAUUUCAUGGGUAAUGUUUUGUUUUUGAGUGCAUGCUAGCAUGAUUCCGCCUUUAAUUGUUAAUUGCAUGCUUAUAGAUGUUAUUCAAAUGAACAUGUUUUUUACAAAUAUUUCCUUCAAGUGGUAUCAGAGCCUAGGUCUAGUAGUUGGUGAAUCCUUUUGGGUUUUGUAGUUCAUA
rnacentral:lncRNA from 1 species